CUGUCUAAUCCCUGGCAGCUGGACUCUUGAGGUUUGGUGGGACAAGAGGGCGGCAAGUUCUCAGUGUCGGAGCGCUGGCUCUCUGAUGGGGCAGGCCUCCCACAGCUCCCGGAAACAGCAGAGCACUGAGCGCCAGGACCUUUGAAUGGACCACUGCAGACUGACAAAGUCUCCUCAGUGUUUUCCCUGUACAGUGCAAAUCCAAGAACAACCCAAAGAAUGAAGAAGGAACCACAAAACAGCUAGAUUUGCAAAAGAAGUCAGAGUGAUGCUAUGUUAGGAUUCAAUCUGCCAUUGCUGGCUUUGAAGAUGGAGGAAGAAAGCCAUGAGCUAAGGAAUGUGGAUGGCAUCUAGAAGCUGGAAAAGAGUCAGGACAGGACUUGGCCAGAUAAGAAAGGUGACCAAGUUUCCCUGGAGCAACCUCGAACCGUAUCAGUGCCAAGAGAACAAAACACAAGUUACACCUCCUGAGGACACAUUAGAAGAGGCAGCAGUGGACCUGGAGUCCACAAUGAAGGUGCUAGU